rnacentral:lncRNA from 1 species
GGGGUUGGCAGCUAUCUUCUAUCUGGGGACUGAAUCCCUGAGGGGAUGACUCAGUCCCUGUUCUAAAACUCUUGAGUCUGGAAUACUGGCUGUCUCCUGGGGCUGGAGGUGGAACCCAGGGCCUCAGACAUACUAGGCAAGCAUGCUGUCUGAGCUUGACCCCUGUCCCCGACACCGGCACUGCCUCUAAACCAGAUCCUCUUUUCAGUGAGCCAUUAUAUUUAUAAAUCAAAGCUUAUGAAUUUAUGAUAGGUCUGGAAGUUCCCUUUCCCUGAUCUUCCUUUCAAGGGCUCUUAGCAGGAGUUCUGCCACAGCCUUGUAAGUCCUGCCCUGGGGCCUCUGGCAGGGAAAGAGGAGGCCUUCAAGGGGCCAGACUGAUGCUCCAUUCCUGCUGUAUUUUUCAAAAGGGCAGACAGCAGGUAUGGAGAUAAAAACAAUGUGGCUGUUUCUUACAGAGACACAGCCUCCGGGGAAAGGACCAGACCAGACAAGCCCUGACCUGAGAUGCUAAGACAUUGGGCACAAGAAGGGACCCCCUUGGACCAGGAGGGCCUUGUCACAUGGUUUCUGAAAAGAAAAGUGAGGCCACCCCGAGUGCCCUGAAUUCAAACAUUCCUCUCCCUGUGGAAAUGUUGAAACCAUUUGGUAAAAUUUCCAAAGGUAGUGUAACAGAAAGUGUGGCCCCUGUGGAGUGGCUCCCCUCACAGCUAAUGCCACUGCUGUCCCCUCCUGUCAGGAGAGCACAGUUGGAGCAUACAUCAUCAGUUGUUUUUUUUUAAAUCGGGAAACUCUUAGUUUUUUAAACUUGCUGAGCAGGUCACACAAAAAAAGCAGGUAUCAGUGUUGACAAUUAGAAGUACAUUAUUUAUCACAUACAUUGUUCCCUCCCAAGGCUAUUUCCUCCAACUGGUGAGUUUUUUGAAGUAGGUCCCACAUUUAGUGAACUUCGAAUCUAGCACACCUAACACACAGAAAUUGCUUCUCUGCUGAUUCUCACGGCACAGGGCUACAAGUGGGACAGGAAGUGAGGAAAGUCAUCACCUAGUGGGACUUGCAUAUCUGCAUUGCAAAGGAAGGCCUAUGGCAUGGUGGAAUUGGA